CCUCUUUCUCGACCUGGGUCCUUAUGGGGGGGGGGGGACCCGCGUCGUCGUAAGCCCCUUCGGGUAGAAAGUCUAUGAAUGUUUUUACCAUCAUCAACUCUCGACUUCUAAGAGACGCGAUUCUUUGAGACAAAAGUUAUUACAACUUUCAGCAAUGGAUCUCUUGGCUCUCGCAUCGAUGAAGAACGCAGCGAAUCGCGAUAUGUAAUGUGAAUUGCAGAUCUACAGUGAAUCAUCGAAUCUUUGAACGCACCUUGCGCUUAUCGGUGUUCCGAUGAGCAUGCCUGUUUGAGCGUCAUUAAAUUCUCAACCCCUCUCGAUUUGCUUCGAGAGGGAGCUUGGAUAGUGUAGGCUGCCGGAGACCUGUUUUUUCAGGACUCUGGCUCCUCUGAAAUGUAUUGACUUGCGGUCGACUUUCGACUGUGCAUGACAAGGCCUUUGGCGUGAUAAUGAUCGCCGCUCGCCGAAGGGCGCAAACGAAUGGUCUCGUGCCCCUGGUCAGUCGAUGUCUUUUCGAAGGCGUCUUCCUUAUUGACGUUUGACCUCAAAUCAGGUAAGACUACCCGCUGAACUGGUAUCAUAUCAGG
rnacentral:rRNA from 1 species